AUGAAGCUGGCAGGAGAGAUCUGAAAUACAGACGCCGAAGGAGAAAUUCCUUGAAAUACGCUUUUCAAGGAGGGAAGCUCUCAGGCAAAAGUACUGCUAGAAGACG
rnacentral:ncRNA from 21 species